rnacentral:rRNA from 1 species
AGAGUUUGAUCCUGGCUCAGAUUGAACGCUGGCGGCAGGCCUAACACAUGCAAGUCGAGCGGAAACGAGUUAACUGACCCUUCGGGUGACGUUAACGGCGUCGAGCGGCGGACGGGUGAGUAAUGCCUGGGAAAUUGCCCUGAUGUGGGGGAUAACCAUUGGAAACGAUGGCUAAUACCGCAUAAUGCCUUCGUGCCAAAGAGUGGGACCUUAGGGCCUCUCGCGUCAGGAGAUGCCCAGGUGGGAUUAGCUAGUUGGUGAGGUAAUGGCUCACCAAGGCGACGAUACCUAGCUGGUCUGAGAGGAUGAUCAGCCACACUGGAAGUGAGACACGGUCCAGACUCCUACGGGAGGCAGCAGUGGGGAAUAUUGCACAAUGGGCGCAAGCCUGAUGCAGCCAUGCCGCGUGUGUGAAGAUGGCCUUCGGGUUGUAAAGCACUUUCAGCAGUGAGGAAGGCGGGUACGUUAAUAAGUGCUCGUUUGACGUUAGCUGCAGAAGAAGCACCGGCUAACUCCGUGCCAGCAGCCGCGGUAAUACGGAGGGUGCGAGCGUUAAUCGGAAUUACUGGGCGUAAAGCGCAUGCAGGUGGUUCGUUAAGUCAGAUGUGAAAGCCCGGGGCUCAACCUCGGAACUGCAUUUGAAACUGGCGGACUAGCGUACUGUAGAGGGGGGUAGAAUUUCAGGUGUAGCGGUGCAAUGCGUAGAGAUCUGAAGGAAUACCGGUGGCGAAGGCGGCCCCCUGGACAGAUACUGACACUCAGAUGCGAAAGCGUGGGGAGCAAACAGGUUUAGAUACCCUGGUAGUCCACGCCGUAAACGAUGUCUACUUGGAGGUUGUGGCCUUGAGCCGUGGCUUUCGGAGCUAACGCGUUAAGUAGACUGCCUGGGGAGUACGGUCGCAAGAUUAAAACUCAAAUGAAUUGACGGGGGCCCGCACAAGCGGUGGAGCAUGUGGUUUAAUUCGAUGCAACGCGAAGAACCUUACCUACUCUUGACAUCCAGAGAAGCCAGCGGAGACU